rnacentral:pre_miRNA from 1 species
CAAGUACUACCUCCGUCCCAAAAUUCUUGUUUUAGAUUAGUCUAGAUAUGAAUGUAUCUAAUACUAAAACGUGACUUGAUACAUCCGUAUUUAGAAAAAUUUAAGAUAAGAAUUUUGGGACAGAUGAAGUACAAA